rnacentral:rRNA from 1 species
CAGUCGCCGCGGGAAUACAGAGGGUGCGAGCGUUAAUCGGAUUUACUGGGCGUAAAGCGUGCGUAGGCGGCUUUUUAAGUCGGAUGUGAAAUCCCUGAGCUCAACUUAGGAAUUGCAUUCGAUACUGGGAAGCUAGAGUAUGGGAGAGGAUGGUAGAAUUCCAGGUGUAGCGGUGAAAUGCGUAGAGAUUUGGAGGAAUACCGAUGGCGAAGGCAGCCAUCUGGCCUAAUACUGACGCUGAGGUACGAAAGCAUGGGGAGCAAACAGGAUUAGAUACCCCAGUAGUCCCUGUCUCUUAUAC